rnacentral:lncRNA from 1 species
UCUGAGCAAUAAAAUAAAAAUGAAACGGUUGGAUUAAAGCUCAAUGGCCGAAAUAGUACAAUUGAGAAAAAAUUUACAGAAAAGACAAAUCCAUCAAUUUAGAACUAGGAAGCCAAAAGCCCUAAGAGCAACACAAAAGAAAAUAGUUAAAAACAUGAAUAAAAAAUUCAAUAAAUCUGAACAAAGCUUAAAAAUCCGACAUAUCGGCACCAAGACCUAAUAAACCUCGCCAAAGAUCAGAACUCAGGACCUUCUCCAUCAUCAAAUACCGUCCUUAAGCCACAACAUCAAAAAUAUAAGAUAAAAUAGCAUGAAAGCACAACGAGUCGAAUACAAAAAUAAACCGAUCAGAAAAGAAAACCCGGUACGCCAUCGAAUGUCUAGCCUCUGUAAACUGUUUGUCCGAGGUGAAAUGAGGUAGCAGAGAAACUCGAUCUUGAGAGGAUCGACAAUCACUCCUGUACUCCAUCAAAUCCAGCAACUCAUCUUUUCCCAAGCAUGCAUUCGUCCAUAGACGAACUUAUAUAGAAUGAUAACAUGCCUUAGAAGCGAACAAAGAAACACCAAAGAACAGAAUACCCUACACGAAAAAUCAGCAAAAAGGCCAAACAAAUGCCUAAUAAGAAACAUUAAAACAUGAAAAUAAACUAAUUACAAAGGAAAAAGGUAAAAUAAAGAAACAAGGAAAGGCCGUAAUGGCCACCGGAGAGGUUGCCGGUGGACAAACACGCUGACAACCUCCCAACUAAAAAUCUUAAAAUGUGAAGAUAGAUAGUUAGAGAGAGAGAAAGAGAGAAAAAAUAACAUGCAUAGGUUCUCCACCGAGAGAUAACUAUUUUUUUUUUUAAUUGUGUCUAUGGUUUUCUUGCUAUCAUCAUUUAAUUAAUUGUGUACAUUGGUUCGUUAAUCACUUUUCUUACUUGAAAUCAGUGGUGGACACAGGGGGUAAGGGGGCAUCGCCCCCAAACUUUUUCU